rnacentral:sRNA from 6 species
GACUAAGGUUCGAUUCGAGCGCAGCGAGAAAGCGUUGCCGCAGGCAACGACCCGAAGGGCGAAGCGCGCAGCGCUGAGUCAUCCUUCCCCCACCACCA